rnacentral:lncRNA from 1 species
AGCUUCCAGGAGGUCGGCCGUCCCUUCCAAGAGGCCACGCUCUUCUCCACAACUUCCUACCACUUUUUAAAAGAAGAGAUUUAAGAAAUGGUGUUCAGAUGGGCAGAGAAUCUCUGCUGACAACGAGUGGCAGAAGUGUCUCUCCCCACCCAGGCCAGGUGGCGGGCAGCUCCUCCUCCCUGUGGCUUCUGGGUCUUGGGGGAAGUCAGCUCCAGACAGACUGGAGAGGCCGCUGCAGAGGGUCGAGGUGGCUGUGGGUUGGCACCUGGGGUCUCUGUGAUGGGGGCUGGGCCAGGAACAUGGCGUCCAGGAGCCCUUCCCCUUGUAGGGUUGUGCUGGCUCCUUUGAGGCCUUCUGCCAGGCCCACCUGUCAUGCCCAGCUGCUCUGACCCCUCGCACGGGCAUCCCUGAGUCUGCCUCAGUCCAGAAGCAGAGGUGGAGGCAGCUCAGGAUUGGGGUCAAUGUGGCACUCCAGGCCCCUGCAAGACUUGGAACAUGCCCCUCCUUCUGGGAAGUCUCUGGUGUCCUUCUCCAGGCUGGCACAGUUCUGAUUCCUAUCCUUAGGAAAUCUGAGGAGUCUCUGGGACCGGGAGGUCUGGGUGGCCUGUCCUGGCCAGGGAGUGGCAACACCCAGUGCCAGUGGGAUUCCCACCUGGCGUGAGGACACCCAACCCUGGAAGGCACCCCCGUGUAAUUCCUGGCUAGCAGUUGAAGAAGGGGGCCUGCACUUCUCUCCAAGACACCACGUCCACACCGGGGGCUGCCCAGUGUCAUGCUGGUCUUCACUUGGUGAAGGCCAGUCCCCGCUGGAGACACUGGCCGUGCCCUGAGUCAGGGACAGGCAGGAGGGUGCAGCUGCUGCCUUCUCUGGCAUGUUCUAGGGAGCUGCUGAGAUACAGAGAUGUGAGAGACGCGGAUGAAAAGAGGGGCCACACUGACUGCAGAGUGCUUUGCUGCCUGCGAGGGAUCGGUCCACUAAGGUGGCUGCGGGGGCCGCUGGCUGCAAAGAGAACACGUGGAAUCAGAAUCCUUUGGAUGGGCCAGCCCGAGCUGCUGGAAAGGCAAGAACAAGAUCUGACCUGUAGUGGAUCGGGAGCUGCCCACAGGAACCGAGCGCCCUUAGCCUGAGUGAUGAGAGUGUGGAGAUGUGGCCAGCCGCCCUGGGCUGUGUGGGUGUGAACUGUGAGCACUGAGCGCACAGGGUGGACAGACCCCGUGUUGUCCCUCUGUUUGGGCGGGCUAUGAAUGCGUCCCUUUGCUCACUCUGCCUAUGAUCCCACAUAGCACACGAGAUGGGCGUGGCCUUCAUAGGUGUCAGUCAACCUGCCCACAGCAAGACAUCCUGAAGUUAGACUCAACCCCCUGAAACGACCCCUUGCCUCAUUUGAAUGGCUUUUCCCCAGUAAAAGGGUUCAGCAUGUGCUCCUCGCUGUCUUGCCUGCCUUGCCCCCCUUGUGGGAGCUGUGGCUGAGGAGAGGUCACUGAACCCAAAGAAAAGGUACUUUCUGUGUUUUUAUUUAGUCCCAAAAUUCACUUGGAGUGACCCUUGACUGGUUUAGACGUGUGACACAACAAUUGGCGCCUGAACAGGGACUCCAAUGUGAAUUUUGAGAACUGGUGGUUUGUUUUUUUCUCUCCAGUAGUGAUAGUGUGCAUAGAUUUAAAAAUUAUUGUGGAUUCAUUUGUAAAAGGGUGAUAAUUAGACAAAAGAAAGUCAGUGACCUUAAACUUAUAAUAUCUGGAAAUUUUUGUUUUUAGAGACAGCAAGAAUUUUAUUUUUUGCAAUUCUGGGGACCAUAAAUAGACAUAAAAAUGAGGAAUUAGAAAAUUGCAAGUACCACAGAAAUUAAGAUGAUUGAUAGAGGGUAUGUUGCUAAGUUCAGUCCUCUCCCAUGGGAAAAGCGCUUUGUGGAUUUUUUCUGAUUGUUUUUGUGAAUUCUUAUAUUUUGAAAUAUUAGGUAAAGUUUUUUUUUUUUUUUUUGAGUUAUAUGUCAGGGAUCUGCGCUUGGAGAGCGAGAGAGCAAAGGCAAAGAUUUCUUAUGGUAAGAUUGAUAUGGGGGAUUUUUUCUACUUCUAGAGAAGCAAAUUUCGUUUUUCUGCUGUUUUGGGGCAGAUGCAGGGUUUGGCUGCUGUCCCUUGUGGAACCGCCAGCUAAUUCUGCCCCUUGGAAACCUUGGUAACCAAACCCUUGAGCCAGCCUCUGCUGAGGGGCCCAUUUUUCAAAUUCAAGAUGCUGCAGGAGGGGCGCUCUGGGGGAGGAGGGUGCAGGGAGCGGGUCCUUUCCCUGACAGAGUGCUGCCCACUGACCCUGGCUCUGGAGCUCACGGAGCAGGAGGUGGAAACACAGGUAGCAGCGGCUUGCAGGAGCACAGGCAGGGCCACCGCCCUGGACGCGGGGCUCCAGCAGGGCACCCCGGGAGCACCCGCGCGGCGCUGCCCCCGAGGGUUUCCAAGUGAGAACAACAACCAGAUGGAGCAGAAUCCCACACCUGGGGACGUUCUGGGACCGAAUAACAGCUGGGAGCCGCGAGCAUCUGCCCCAGAAACUUCCAAGACGCCACCGUUCAGGGGUGCCAGCCGCUGACGGGGACUCGCAGGGUCACGAACCUGGCCAUCACAUCCCCUGCAAUCCCAAGCAAUACGGGCACCUGCGAGAACGGCCAUUUACAGCGGCAGGGGCGCUGCUGUCACCCCGGGACCACCGGCGGACUGCCCACGCUAGCGCGGAGGACUGCGGACCCUGGCCUGGCCAUCGGUGCAGGCCCACCGCGCGGCUCCCAUGGAGAUGCUGACAGGGAAAGGACAAAUUGCUGGUUUGCGACCCCAGCUGGACAGCCCAGCGGGCAACGCCCGCCCCGAAAAACUGGCGGGACACCCACACAGUGCAGCUGCUCGGUGUCCUAUGCCCCGGGGCGAGCCCGGGCUGCGGGGCCACCAGCGCCACUCUUGCUUCCUCUCCGUCGUAACCGCCUGGCGCCUGGCUUCAGGUUCCCACUGUGAACCUCCACCCGACCUCGGCGACCCGGGGCACCGGCGAGGUGCCCGGCCACGUGGUCGCACGGAGAUGUGGAGUGGACAUGCAAAGGGACGGCCAACAUCGGGGUUCUCCCCGAGGCUCUACACCUAGGAGUUCUCCGGGCACACGGCGGGGACCAAAUGGCAGAAAAGUCCCGCCUCCCGCGUUUUCCCUUUCCCUGUCACUCAAACGGGGCUUUUGGCCCCGCCCCCGCGUGGCUGGCCCCGGGGCUGCGGCCCUCGUCUUGCAGGAGAUGUCCACUGCCGGUACCAGCCAAAGAUCCCUUCCGCGGGCGCCUGCGGGCAGCCUGAGCCCGACUGUUCUCGAGCUGGGCAGCCUCAUCUUUUCUCCACAGCUGCAGAGGCCGUGUCGCGACCGCCAGAGAGACAGGGCUCCUCCUGUCUUCCUUUUGGAGCUUAUGAGGAUGCAUUUUGCUCAUCACAGGAACAAAAGCCGGAGACAGUUUGUCACAAUGUUCCCGUGAUGACCGAAAAAAUCCUUGUUUUCAUUUGUAACUAUACAAAUACAAAAAAAUAAUAAAUGUAUUGGCUGGGUUCUUAUUUUAACUAAAUUAAGGGUACACCCAUAGUUAAAAUAAGUUGAAAUGGAUCCAAAUAGUUUAAGAACCAUGUAGUUUCAUAAGGUUGACAUAAUUAUAGCUAUACCUUUAUUCUUAAUACAUAUUUUUCCAGUUAUUUAAAUAAUCUAUGAUCAGUAAUUCAUAAAAUAAUUAACACAUAUGUCUAUUUAUUUAAUUAAUAUGUGUCUAUUUGCUUCUAAUUGUUUUCCUUCAACAGAAAACACAGAAUUUAUAUUUCUUAUACAUGCAUUUAUCUGAUGCUCUGCCUUUUAUAGUUUAAAACAUUUAAGAUAACGCUGGGGCUGGGGCUCAGCAGUAGAGCACUUGCCUAGCACCACAUAAAAAUAAAUAAAUAAAAUAAAGGUAUUGUGUCCAUCUACAACUAAAAUACAAAUAUUAAAAAAUUAAGAUAAAUGUGUUUUACUAUAAGAAUUUUGCUUUCAAGAAAAUACAACCAUCAAGUAAUCUCUAAUUCUCAAAUUAUUGUAUAAAUUUUAUUAGAUGAUAAACAGAUAUGAUUCUGUCUACAGAAAUGUCUAAGGGCUUUAAUGAUAUUUUUCAUUGAGAUAUUUCUUCUUAUUAAGGUACAAUAAUUUGUUUAGAUUCUAAGAUUUACAGAAAUUGUUCCAAAGUAUAACCAAAAGAAAUUCCAAAAGGAGAGGAAAAUACUUCCACAGAGAGCAAGCACACAUUGGAGAUCUAAGAAGAACAAAGAAAUUAUCUUUGGGUAAAACAAGGUCUUUAUUGUCUAGAUUUUAAUGAUAAAAAAAUUUUCCUAAAUAAGGAAAUCCUUAUAUCAUUAUCUAGACUGAUGAUAUAGAAAGUUAAAAUAAUUGGAAAACAAAUGUAUGUAUAACUGGACUGACUAUAACAAUCUGAACUGAUUAAUUCUAGGAUAUUUCAGACUCCAUUCCCUGAUUUUAUUAUACUAAUAUAAACCAAGAUUGGGUCCAUAUUUCAACAUGAUAAAGACCUAUUAAAAUGUUAAGUUUGUUUCCAUCAAGUAAGGUCUUUAUUUACCUAGUGAUUCUUAAUGUUUAAGAUAAGGAUUAAUUUUAGUUAAUUAAUUUACUUCUUUGAUUAAAUAAUAAAUAUUUUGAAAUGCUGACUUAAAUUUCAAUUUGACACUUCUUCUUGGAGACUAAAUUUGAUUGAUUCAAAGAUGCCAGUAGUGAUUCCUGUUGAUUCUUACAUAUUACUUCUGUUGUUGGAUACUUGUAGGAUUUGGGAGAGCAUUUUAUUAGAACUUGAGCUCUCCAAAUUAAAAUCAUACAUUAGUUUUGAACAAUAAAAUCUACAAACUUUGUUGGAAAUUUUUUGUAUUAUCUAAGUUCUCUGACUGGACAUAUUAUCCAUAAAAAAAUAUGAUAAGGUUUAUAUACUACUCCCUACACUGGGAAGCGGCCUUAAUCAUAUUUUUUAAAAAGACAAGAGAUACCUAUUUAAAAGAUAAUAUUCUGAGGUAUAGAGAUAUUUUGAGACUUUCUCUCAGGAAGGGAUUGAGGGUUCUUAAAUUGUCCAUUUGCAGGUAACAUCAAAAUGGAUCAGCUAGUCUAUGUACUAGAAAAUCACAAUGAUUAAUAAAAAAUGUCUCAAUUUUAUAUCUAGCCUCAUUUACUAUUAACAGAGAAGGCCUUAAAAAUUACCUACUGGAAACAAAGAUCAAAGGGGACCUCUCAAACUUAAUACAGAUCAGAACAAACUCAGGGAGGUUUUUGAGAGAUCCAAAUUCAUAUAUUGUAAUAUUUCAAAAUUUAUGCCAGAUGUCUAACCUUAUCUAGAGAGAUGUGCUGUUACUUAGCUAAACCUUAAAAUAGAGGGCCAUCUUAAAAACAGUUUUAAAGGAGAUUUAUCUUAACCAUGUCCUGAUUAUCUGUCUGGAGCACAGACAACUUCCCCAAACAGAUAUCCAACACAUAAACAAAAUGCCUAAAAAGGAAUUUUAGUAAGCCUUUAAAAAAUCCUAUUUUCAUAGAGAGACUCAAAAAGACAGUGCAGCACCUUAAGCUUCUAGGGGGCCACCCAUUUUCAAAGUUGGGUUUAUCAUCCAGUUAGCCCUAGACAUUCCCUGGGAUUGGCAAAGGUCAACACAGUCCUAGACAAGUUUAAAUGUUACACCAUAGUUGAUUGGAGACCAAAGGAAGGAAGACAGACAUACAGACAGAAAGAGAUUGAAAUGCUAAUCUCACCCCAAGAAAAAUAAACUUCCUUGUUAACAAGUUUACUCCUUUUCUAAAUUAUAAUCAAGUUUUGAAAGCCUCUAAACAUUAAAACAGGGUCUUACUUUGAACCCUUGUCAACAGUUUAUCACGGAGAAAAAUGACUCUAAAAAUAGUUACCCCUAAAAUAUUAGACAGACAGCCAUAAAUAAAUCAGCUCAACAGCUGAUAGCUUAUUUCAAUAAAAAAUUUAGCAUGAUAGACCUUUUCUCAACUUUAAUAAUAUAAGGUGAUGCCCU